AGAGUUUUGAACAGGCUCAGGACGAACGCUGGCGGCGUGCCUAAUACAUGCAAGUCGAGCGGACAGAUGGGAGCUUGCUCCCUGAUGUUAGCGGCGGACGGGUGAGUAACACGUGGGUAACCUGCCUGUAAGACUGGGAUAACUCCGGGAAACCGGGGCUAAUACCGGAUGGUUGUUUGAACCGCAUGGUUCAGACAUAAAAGGUGGCUUCGGCUACCACUUACAGAUGGACCCGCGGCGCAUUAGCUAGUUGGUGAGGUAACGGCUCACCAAGGCGACGAUGCGUAGCCGACCUGAGAGGGUGAUCGGCCACACUGGGACUGAGACACGGCCCAGACUCCUACGGGAGGCAGCAGUAGGGAAUCUUCCGCAAUGGACGAAAGUCUGACGGAGCAACGCCGCGUGAGUGAUGAAGGUUUUCGGAUCGUAAAGCUCUGUUGUUAGGGAAGAACAAGUGCCGUUCAAAUAGGGCGGCACCUUGACGGUACCUAACCAGAAAGCCACGGCUAACUACGUGCCAGCAGCCGCGGUAAUACGUAGGUGGCAAGCGUGACCCGGAAGAAUUGGGCGUAAGGGCUCGCAGGCGGUUUCUUAAGUCUGAUGUGAAAGCCCCCGGCUCAACCGGGGAGGGUCAUUGGAAACUGGGGAACUUGAGUGCAGAAGAGGAGAGUGGAAUUCCACGUGUAGCGGUGAAAUGCGUAGAGAUGUGGAGGAACACCAGUGGCGAAGGCGACUCUCUGGUCUGUAACUGACGCUGAGAGCGAAACCGCGCGGAGCGAACAGGGAAUUAGGAUUUACCCCUGGGUUAGGUUCCACGGCCCGGUUAAACGAAUGAAGGUGGGCUAAGUGUUAGGGGGUUUCCGCCCCUUAGUGCUGCAGCUAACGCAUUAAGCACUCCGCCUGGGGAGUACGGUCGCAAGACUGAAACUCAAAGGAAUUGACGGGGGCCCCCCAAACGGGGGAACAUGGGGUUUAAUUCAAAGCACCCGAAAAACCUUCCAGGUUUGAACCCCUUGAAACCCUAGA
rnacentral:rRNA from 1 species